rnacentral:rRNA from 1 species
UAUUGGACAAUGGGCGAAAGCCUGAUCCAGCAAUGCCGCGUGAGUGAUGAAGGCCCUAGGGUUGUAAAGCUCUUUUACCCGGGAAGAUAAUGACUGUACCGGGAGAAUAAGCCCCGGCUAACUCCGUGCCAGCAGCCGCGGUAAUACGGAGGGGGCUAGCGUUGUUCGGAAUUACUGGGCGUAAAGCGCACGUAGGCGGCUUUGUAAGUCAGAGGUGAAAGCCUGGAGCCCAACUCCAGAACUGCCUUUGAGACUGCAUCGCUUGAAUCCAGGAGAGGUCAGUGGAAUUCCGAGUGUAGAGGUGAAAUUCGUAGAUAUUCGGAAGAACACCAGUGGCGAAGGCGGCUGACUGGACUGGUAUGACGCUGAGUGCGAA